GGGCCGCUAGCUCAAUCGGUAGAGCGUUUGCCUCUUAAGCAAAUUGUUCCGGGUUCGAGUCCCGGGCGGCUCA
rnacentral:tRNA from 1 species